CUGCACUACCUAGCACAGUCUGGAACCAUUGUUGGGAAGAGCAACUCCAUGAAACAGAUGAACAGAAGGGAGUGUGGCUAAAGUUCUGUUACCACAAAAUCUCUGAGAGGGAGAGGAAGAGUCUACAUGGAUUCUAGUUGGAAGUUUCUUCAAGCAAGAGGAGAGAAGAUAUUGCUACAGUGCUUUGAAGUUAGCAAACUGUAUGGAUUUCUGGUGAUCAAAGACUGUAACUGAGACUCCAGUGAAAGCAGCCUAAGCUUUUGGGAACUCUUCUUCCUUCUCACUGUUUCUGUGGGGACUGACCUGUUUAGAUUUAACUUUUCUUUAUGCACGACUGAAGAUAUUUAUGAUUCACAUACAUUUAAGUUAUGGUGUAGAAAUUAAGUUAGUGUUUAUCAAAGUUUUAUAAAGUUGGUAUCUAAGAAUUAAGUUCAUUGCUUUUUAUUCUUUUUGGGGAGGUUGACCCUGUGCAAUCCUUGCUGAAAAUCCUCUGACUAAAUUCUGGGCCUCCUUGUGCUUUUCUGAGUUUUUAGGUACUAGGAGAAGUGCAGAGAAGUAAACCGUAGCCCACACAGAGGUUACACAUGUUUUGGAAAACAAAAUUCUCAUAAGAGGAAGUCCUGUACUGGAGAGAGGUGGGAGGGAUGUGAGGAGCAUAUUACCCCUAAUUUGGGGGAGGGUGUAUAAAUCCCAUACUAUUGAGUUUCCAACCUAUUUAGACAAUAUUGUGUAUUUCCUUGUAAGACACAGUAAAAUUAUUUUCAUGCUUUUUAACUAAUAUUUUGGAAAAAAUAUCCUUACCUACUGACGCCUCUCCAUUUAGCAAAUAUUAUCUGUCUUUUGUUUAAGGAAAGCAAACCCAUGUGCCUGUUUGAUUUACUUCGUGUAUAAAAUGAAAAGUCUA